rnacentral:rRNA from 1 species
CCUCCCUGAAUGCACCCGAUCUCAUCUGAUCUCGGAAGCUAAUCAGGGUCGGGCCUGGUUAGUACUUGGAUUGGAGACCGCCUGGGAAUACUGGGU